GAUGAACGCUGGCGGCGUGCCUAAUACAUGCAAGUCGAGCGAACGGACGAGAAGCUUGCUUCUCUGAUGUUAGCGGCGGACGGGUGAGUAACACGUGGAUAACCUACCUAUAAGACUGGGAUAACUUCGGGAAACCGUAGCUAAUACCGGAUAAUAUUUUGAACCGCAUGGUUCAAAAGUGAAAGACGGUCUUGCUGUCACUUAUAGAUGGAUCCGCGCUGCAUUAGCUAGUUGGUAAGGUAACGGCUUACCAAGGCAACGAUGCAUAGCCGACCUGAGAGGGUGAUCGGCCACACUGGAACUGAGACACGGUCCAGACUCCUACGGGAGGCAGCAGUAGGGAAUCUUCCGCAAUGGGCGAAAGCCUGACGGAGCAACGCCGCGUGAGUGAUGAAGGUCUUCGGAUCGUAAAACUCUGUUAUUAGGGAAGAACAUAUGUGUAAGUAACUGUGCACAUCUGGACGGUACCUAAUCAGAAAGCCACGGCUAACUACGG
rnacentral:rRNA from 1 species